rnacentral:tRNA from 1 species
AUAUGAUAAUUAGUUUAAAACAAAACAAAUGAUUUCGACUCAUUAGACUAUGAUUUACUUCAUAAUUAUCAA